rnacentral:lncRNA from 1 species
CGAACUUUUUUUUUAAAUGCUUUCAGAUAGUUGGCUGAUUUGUGGUAUGUGGCCUAACCAUGAUGAGUUACAGAUCAAGUUUAAGUUUCGUUCCGCUCCGCUAAUUUUUGCCAAAAUUGAGGGUUUACAACUUGAAUUUUUUUGAAAAUCACAGUUAUACAGACUUUUUGUCUAUACACGCCUCCAGGUUUUGAGCUGAUUUUUGAUACUACCAUCAUGUUUGUGUCCACAUGUGUUAUUGAAAUUGCAAAUUUGAAACCUUUUGAGACGGGGCCAUUCGUGUCGCUUUGACACAUCUAGUUUUAAUAACUUCAAGGCAAUAUUUGUUGCAUAUACAAAAAGACCUUGGUAAAGAUCAUAUCAUAGAUAGCAAAGGUUAAGUUAUCUGUUUAAUGACCAAGGGGAUAUGGACUUUUGUUAUGUUUUGCCAAUUGAUGCCUCUACUUUUGUCAAUAUGGAAUAUAAAGUUCAUUUUGUUAGAGAGAACACAGUAUUGUAUGUUCCAUAGAGCUCUUUCUGUAUAUCUAGCUUGAAUGUGUAUGUGCCGUAGUCACAAAAGAGCAAAGCUCAACCACCAUAUCAAAAAUUGUUAAGGGCAUACGAU